UACGGAGGGUGCAAGCGUUAUCCGGAUUCACUGGGUUUAAAGGGUGCGUAGGUGGAAUGGUAAGUCAGUGGUGAAAUCUCCAAGCUUAACUUGGAACUGCCGUUGAUACUAUCAUUCUUGAAUAUCGUGGAGGUAAGCGGAAUAUGUCAUGUAGCGGUGAAAUGCUUAGAUAUGACAUAGAACACCGAUUGCGAAGGCAGCUAACUACACGAUCAUUUGACACUGAGGCACGAAAAGCUGGGGGAGCAAAACAGGGAUUUAGAAAACCCCGAGU
rnacentral:rRNA from 1 species